ensembl:lncRNA
AUUUAAUAGAAUAGUAUUAUUAUUAUUAUUUACAUUUUGUUGUGAUCCAAGCACAAAAAAUCUAAAUAUUUUAAUCUAGAUGAUUAAUUUAAUUAAAUUCAUAUUUAGGCUCAGAACAUCAUAGAGACAAUUGGGCAAAGAGACAAUUUUUUGGUCAUUUUUUUGAUUAUGACAGGUGCAGUACCCAUUUACUUUUGUAAAAGAAAAACUAUCAGGAAAGCUUUCUGCUAAAUAAUUUUGUUGUAUUUUAUUUUAUUUCACUUCACUUCACAAAAUCACAAAAUUUUACUUCACAAAAUUAACUACAUGUUUCUCUGUUCAAGACUUCACCAGCAUGUCAUACUCCCACAUGGGAAAGUCUUUAACAGUUUUCCUGGAGGGGUGAUACCUGGUUUGUUAGUGAGAUAGUUAUGGUGUAAUGAUAAAUGGAGAGACUGAACAUGCUCUCAGAGGCACAGGUGGCCAGUGUGUGUGUGUGUGUGUGUGUGUGUGUGUGUGUACAUUAAAACUCAAAGCUUAAAACGGCAGAGGAGUACAGGUAACAUAACAAAAGAAUGCAGCAGAUUCAAAACAGGGUUGACAUGUCAGACAUUCUGCAUGGUGUCUCUGAACCAUCAGAAUAACAUUUGCAUAAUCUCGCCCAUGUUGCCUGAACUCUCUCUUUUAUUGUAAGGUAUGUGUGUGUCCUUGAAAGUGAUUUAGGAGUUGUCAGGACACAGGACACUCUGCACCUCCUUAUCAGCAGCCUGGUACCAACUGGAGUCUAUCCCCGGGAGGAAAAACAGGACCUUGUGUGUUUGAACAGGGCAGCACAUCCCCCACAGACGUCUGUCUCCCACCAUGCCCUGACCCUGGAUCUAUGUGUGGAACUCUCUCUACAUUUAUUUGUGUGGGCCUCGUCCUCUCCCAUUUCCUUUUAUUUUUUCACGUUCCAGAUCCUGGUAUUGUUGCUUACUAAAUCACGUCAGUAUAACCCUCAGACUGGCACACAGCUGAGGAGAUCUGUUUAAGGAAUAGCUCACACACAAAUGAAAAUGCAUCAUGCCAUUCCAAACUUGCAUGUCUUUUUCUUCCAUGAAACCCAACAGGAGAUGGGUAAAAGUAAGGGAAUGAAUGGACAGAUGAAUUCCUGGUCCUGAAUUGAAAUUGGUGCCACCUGGACCGGCAGAUCAUACUUGGAAGUAAGCAAUGGCAGAUUUAAUUAUGAAGUCAUCAAAUUAAAUGUCACAACCUCAUUUGAGUAGUGUCAGCAUAAAAUAUACAGUCCAAAUUAAAGUUCACAAACUCUGUGUCUUAAAGUAAAUAGACUGAAUGAAGAUAAUGAAAAGUAAUGCACUGUAUGAAAGGACGCUUUCAGGUGAGUCGCGUCACACUCGUUUCCUGCACUUUAUCGCAUUGCACGUUGCUUUUAUUUGUUGAUAAGCUGGAAUAUGUUUUGUUUAGUACAGUGCUCUCCAGGAGCAGGGUUGGAGAUCCCUGGUUUAGUAACAUACUUUCACUGAGCUGUCAUCUUCAGAAGCUGUGUUUAAAACUGUCUGCAGGUGUUAAGCGUCAUGUUACCAAUCAUCUGAAGCUGUCAAACUGACUGCUUUCGCCACCCAGUGGAGCGGAUGGAAACUUACACUCCAGUUUCUAGUUUUAGUUGCAGACUAGCUCUGAGAUUUAAACUUCAUUUAUUUUACAACAAAAGAUAUGAUUUUGUCAUGGUCUCGGUCAGCAGAGUAUUCUACUAGUUUAGAUAAACGAACCGGAUCAGCUUUCAACUGAUGGGGUAAGACAGAUGAAAUGUUGUGCUGAACUCAAAAGCACAUGGUCAAAGUGUAAACAUAAAAUACAGAACAAAGUUUCUCUGAGACUCUUAGAUUGGUAAAGCAGAUGUGUAUUAGUUAUUUAAAUGAAUGUGUAUCGUGUGUUCACAGUUCAACAAUGAUUUUAAUGUGCUUGUGUGUCGUUGUUUACAAACUCAAGUAGCUUUUAGUAUAAAACUUGAUUGGAAGACAGGGCAGAUUUGGACAAAUUGUUUUAAAGCCUGUAUCAAAAUAUCUGUUGACACAUUUAAUCUAUAAGCUCAACUGAUAUCAUGAUGGUAAUAGUGUCUCAUGGCAACUUUUUAUUAAUAUUUAUAAGCAGAUGUAGGAGAUCAGAUUCACCAUCUCCCCUUGAGAAGCAUCUGGGCAGUGAGUUUGAACAGGAAGCUCUUAGUAAGGAUGAGGAGGAUGUGAAGCUCUGAGCUCUGGAUGAUCAUGAGGUUAUAGAUGGAGGACUGAGACUUUGGCUUCUACAGACCUACAGACACAGAUAUCACAUUUUAGUUCACGUUAAACCAUGGACGGAUUGAUCACAGAUCAUGUAUUGGUUAAUUUGAUAAAUGAUCAUUAAAAAAAAAUACCGUUAACAUAUGUAAUCUAUGAACUGCUGACUGAUAAAACAACUUAACAUUAAUAUUGUGUCUAAUGUAAGCUUUUUUUACUAACAUGCAUGAGAUCAGAUCAGUGUGUCAGCUCUCUCUUGUGGACAAUAAGUGUAUCUGCAUUAAUAAAAUAAUACAGCAGCAGGAGGAAAAGGCAGUUAUGUCUAAUCCUGCUCCUGUUGAGCCACUUUCCUGAGUUUAACUCCAACCUGAUUAAAAACACAUGGAACAGCUAAUCAAGGUCUUUAGGAAUACUAGAAACUUACAGGUAGGUUUACUGGGUUCUAUGUUUCUAAUUCAUAUAAAACUUGAUUUCAAUAAACAAAUGAUGCUGUUCAAAAGUUGUGUUGGUGUUAUCAGUUUAAUGCAUUUAAACACAAGACAGACUUAAACACAUUUGAAAGACUUUAGUUAAUAAAUAGAUUGUAUUUUUUUUUCCCGCAACAGUUUAUUUGGUACAAUAUUUCACUCAUUACUCAUCAAACAGAUUUAAUAUAAGCAUAUUCCCCUGCAACAUCUCAUAACAAACACAGAAUCUUUCUAGUCCUGCUAUGAGGCUUAAGCUCAGAAUGAGUUGAUCAAGCUGAGAUGAGCACUGAUGAAUCCUGUGGAUAAUGAAUUGUUUUUAUCCAAAAGAAAUUUAAUCGUAACCAAUUUUUUUAGUGGUUAGCUGUGGUAUCUCUAGUACAUAUAAAAGAGCUGUUGGCUCACGGAGACGAAAGCAAGAUGACCCAUAAAAAAAUAAAUACAUUUACACAAUUAUUUUCAUAUUUCUAUGUGACAAAAAUGAGCUCUUAAAGCUCAGUGGAUUGAGCCUUGUGUUUUCACAUGUG